rnacentral:rRNA from 1 species
UUGAACGCUGGCGGCAUGCCUUACACAUGCAAGUCGAACGGUAACAGGUCUUCGGAUGCUGACGAGUGGCGAACGGGUGAGUAAUACAUCGGAACGUGCCCGAUCGUGGGGGAUAACGAGGCGAAAGCUUUGCUAAUACCGCAUACGAUCUACGGAUGAAAGCGGGGGAUCUUCGGACCUCGCGCGGACGGAGCGGCCGAUGGCAGAUUAGGUAGUUGGUGGGAUAAAAGCUUACCAAGCCGACGAUCUGUAGCUGGUCUGAGAGGAUGAUCAGCCACACUGGGACUGAGACACGGCCCAGACUCCUACGGGAGGCAGCAGUGGGGAAUUUUGGACAAUGGGCGAAAGCCUGAUCCAGCCAUGCCGCGUGCAGGAUGAAGGCCUUCGGGUUGUAAACUGCUUUUGUACGGAACGAAAAGCCUCUUUCUAAUAAAGAGGGGUCAUGACGGUACCGGAAGAAUAAGCACCGGCUAACUACGUG